rnacentral:rRNA from 1 species
AUAGCGUAUAUUAAAGUUGUUGCGGUUAAAAAGCUCGUAGUUGGAUCUCAGUUCCAGACGGGUGGUCCGCCUACCGGUGGUUACUGCCUGUUCUGAACAGCCAGCCGGUUUCUCUUGAUGAUCUUCACCGGUUGUCUUGGGUGACCGGCAAGUUUACUUUGAAAAAAUUAGAGUGCUCAAAGCAGGCGUGACGCCUGAAUAAUGGUGCAUGGAAUAAUGGAAUAGGACCUCGGUUCUAUUUUGUUGGUUUUCGGAACACGAGGUAAUGAUUAAAAGGGACAGACGGGGGCAUUCGUAUUACGGUGUUAGAGGUGAAAUUCUUGGAUCGCCGGAAGACGAACUACUG